CAAUCUUUAACAAAGGUUAACAACGGCUUUUCUCUGAUUAAGCAUGUCCCAAUCCAAAUUCCUGUCUCCCUCACCUGGGGGCUUUCGUCUGAGCUGUGACCGAGCCGUGAUCAAACUGAACUAAAAUAAUAAGGUAAAAUUGAAUCAAAAGGUCAGAGAGAGAGAGAGAGAGAGAGAUAGAUUUCUUCACCUGGGACCGAGCUUCCAAGUAGGUGCUUGGCAGUCCUCUCUAGGGAGUGGAACUUGUUCCCACAGGAGGCAAUGAGAUAGCCACCAAGCUAGGUGGUUUCUAAAGAGGAUUGGACAGAUUCAAGGAGGAGAGAGCCAUCGAAGGCUGUGCUCUGCUGCCAAUGUUGGAGGCAGCAGUCCUUCUGAAAACAGUACCAGAUGCUAGAAGCCACAGGAGGAGAGAGGGCUCUUGUGCUCGAAUCCCACUUGUGGGUUUCCCACAGGCAUCUGGUUGGCCACUGUGAGAACAGGAUUCUGGUAGGCCAUUGUCCUGAUCCAGCAGGGUCUUCUUAUGUUCUUAUGUGGUUAUGAGAGCGGUCUACAACCACCGCCAUGGAGGAAACCUUUACCUCUGCUGCCGCCGGCCAUAUCCCAGAUGGUGGUUGAACUUAAAGGAAGGCUUCUGGUGCAGAUCUUAAUGUACAGGCAUGCAAGUGUGGAGACAUUUCCACCUGGUCCCAAGCCAUUAAGGGACAGCUGGAG